rnacentral:rRNA from 1 species
UACAGAGGGUGCGAGCGUUAAUCGGAAUAACUGGGCGUAAAGGGCGCGUAGGCGGCCUGGCAAGUCGAUGGUGAAAGCCCGAGGCUCAACUUCGGGUCGGCCACUGAUACUGCUGGGCUUGAGUCGACUAGAGGCAGAUGGAAUUCCGGGUGUAGCGGUGGAAUGCGUAGAGAUCCGGAAGAACACCGGUGGCGAAGGCGGUCUGCUGGGGUCGAACUGACGCUGAGGCGCGACAGCGUGGGGAGCAAACAGG